CUGCUGCGGGGAGAUAUGGUGAACGUGACCGUCAAUAGCGGCUGCUGUAAGGAUUAGAUGCUCGCCUGAAAUGGCAUCGGUCGACGGACCUGUCACCAGGUCGGGAGAUACACCGUCCAUCACAUCAGGGUUACCUGCCUUGCCUAUGCCUGCGAUUUUGCCGUCCUUGAUGCCGACAUCGGCUUUGACGACUCCUAAGAUAGGGUCAAGGAUGGUGACAUUGGUUAUCACGAGGUCAAGAGAUCCACCCUUGACCGAGUAGCGGUUGGCAAGUCCCAUGCCGUCGCG
rnacentral:sRNA from 1 species